rnacentral:sRNA from 1 species
CUUGAAAGUAAUAAAAGAAAACUUUCUAAAGAAGCUUUCGAC